rnacentral:lncRNA from 1 species
UCUGCCUGCACCCAUGUGAUUAAAAAGCUUUAUUGCUCACACAAAGCCUGUUUGGUUAUCUCUUCACACAGACAUGCGUGACAUUUGGUGCUGAAGACCCGGGAUGGGGGACUCCUUCGGGAGACUGGUCCCCUGUCCUCACCCUCACUCCAUGAGGAGAUCCACCUACAACCUCGGGUCCUCAGUCCAACCAGCCUAAGGAACAUCUCACCAAUUUCAAAUCAGAUCUUGGCUUAGUGGCUGAAGACUGAUGCUGCCCAAUUACCUCGGAAGCCUCCUGGACCAUCACAGAUACUUUGAGUAAUCUCUUAUAGUGGAAGGAUGCAAAGUUGGAAUAAGAGCAAUGACCACCUCUCCUGAGAGACCUGUUUGUUCCCACAUCUGUACUCUUCAGUCAACAGAACCUGAUGCAAAGAACAGAAAAGGGGAAGAUGUGGGG